UACGAAGGGGGCUAGCGUUGCUCGGAAUCACUGGGCGUAAAGCGCACGUAGGCGGAUUGCUAAGUCAGGGGUGAAAUCCUGGAGCUCAACUCCAGAACUGCCUUUGAUACUGGCGACCUUGAGUCCGGGAGAGGUGAGUGGAACUGCGAGUGUAGAGGCGAAAUUCGUAGAUAUUCGCAAGAACACCAGUGGCGAAGGCGGCUCACUGGCCCGGUACUGACGCUGAGGUGCGAAAGCGUGGGGAGCAAACAGG
rnacentral:rRNA from 1 species